rnacentral:rRNA from 1 species
UACGGAGGGUGCAAGCGUUAUCCGGAUUCACUGGGUUUAAAGGGUGCGUAGGUGGGUCUGUAAGUCAGUGGUGAAAUCUCCGAGCUUAACUCGGAAACUGCCAUUGAUACUAUAGGUCUUGAAUUAUCUGGAGGUUAGCGGAAUAUGUCAUGUAGCGGUGAAAUGCUUAGAUAUGACAUAGAACACCGAUUGCGAAGGCAGCUGGCUACAGGUAUAUUGACACUGAGGCACGAAAGCGUGGGGAUCAAACAGG